GGAGAGGUGGCCGAGUGGCUUAAGGCGGUGGUUUGCUAAACCACUGAGUCGGUAACACCGGCUCCGGGGGUUCGAAUCCCCCCCUCUCCG
rnacentral:tRNA from 1 species